UACGAAGGGGGCUAGCGUUGCUCGGAAUUACUGGGCGUAAAGCGCACGUAGGCGGAUCUUUAAGUCAGGGGUGAAAUCCUGGAGCUCAACUCCAGAACUGCCUUUGAUACUGAGGACCUUGAGUUCGGGAGAGGUGAGUGGAACUGCGAGUGUAGAGGUGAAAUUCGUAGAUAUUCGGAAGAACACCAGUGGCGAAGGCGACUUACUGGACACAUAUUGACGCUGAGGUGCGAAAGCGUGGGGAGCAAACAGG
rnacentral:rRNA from 1 species